UAUACGUCAAUUUGUUGCCAUGGCACUCUUGAGGUCGGAUGUUCCGUCCAAAACCUUCCAGAAGCUGGUGUCAGUUCAUGUUCUGUGGUUGGCUGAUGUCAUUAUGGCCAAAAUCCCCCUACAUUCUACUUACAGGUCCCCAAAACAAGUUCAUAGGCCUCAAGCCUCAUGCUAACUGCUGAAGCCAAUGCCUUACAGGAUACAAGCCUGUAGGUUCAUUGCAUUACUGCUGAAUAUAAUAAAGCCGAAUAUAAUGCAAAGCAGUGAAUAUAAUAGAGGUGAGAUUAUACAGGAGUGGGGGGUUUAAGGUAAAACAAGUCAAGUGGAGUACACUGCACCUUGGGGCUUGCACAGACUCUUCUUCCCAUGGGUGAUACAAUCCAAUAUCUUCUGUCUACUCCGUGGUGGAGUGCAUCUGGAGCAUGUAGCACUGCUACAUGCAUGAGAACUCAGAUAUUAGGAAGGGGAUAGAAGAGCAGCUAACCGUGUAAUCAUGACAGGCUCCUAAAUCUCGUAGGUGCUUUUGAAAAUGUUACUUUGUAGCAAUUUCGCACUUAAUGGAUGUACAUCUGUUUAUACCCACUGAUGAGCUGAUCCAUAGUUUUAAUAUCUUUGUUUAAUUGUGGUGAAUAUAAAGAGGUUUUUGCAGGUU